GACGAACGCUGGCGGCGUGCUUAACACAUGCAAGUCGAACGGGUGAGUAACGUGUCUGCUCAUUGGUAGGGGACUGCCUGAUGGAGGGGGAUAACUACUGGAAACGGUAGCUAAUACCGCAUACCAUCGGAUGUGCCCAGAUGGGAUUAGCUAGUAGGUGGGGUAACGGCUCACCUAGGCGACGAUCCCUAGCUGGUCUGAUAGGAGGACCAGCCACACUGGAACUGAGACACGGUCCAGACUCCUACGGGAGGCAGCAGUGGGGAAUAUUUCACAAUGGGCGCAAGCCUGAUGCAGCCAUGCCGCGUGUAUGAAGAAGGCCUUCGGGUUGUAAAGUACUUUCAGCGGGGAGGCGUUACCCGCAGAAGAAGCACCGGCUAACUCCGUGCCAGCAGCCGCGGUAAUAC
rnacentral:rRNA from 1 species